UACGGAAGGUCCUGGCGUUAUCCGGAUUUAUUGGGUUUAAAGGGAGCGUAGGCGGGAUGCUAAGCGUGCUGUGAAAUACCGCGGCUCAACCGUGGGAGUGCAGCGCGAACUGGCUUCCUUGAGUAGGCGGAAGGUACGCGGAAUUCGUGGUGUAGCGGUGAAAUGCUUAGAUAUCACGAGGAACCCCGAUUGCGAAGGCAGCGUGCCGCAGCCUGACUGACGCUGAAGCUCGAAGGUGCGGGUAU
rnacentral:rRNA from 1 species